GAAGGGUGGGGUCGGACUAUUUAUGUAUUCCAUAGAAGUAGCAAAGA
rnacentral:tRNA from 1 species